GAUGAACGCUGGCGGCGUGCCUAACACAUGCAAGUCGAGCGAAGCAUUUUAAAGGAAGUUUUCGGAUGGAAUUUGAAAUGACUGAGCGGGCGACGGGUGAAGGUACGCGUGGUAACCUGCCUCAUACAGGGGGAUAACAGUUAGAAAUGACUGCUAAUACCGCAUAAGCACACAGUACCGCAUGGUACAGAGUGAAAAACUCCGGUGGUAUGAGAUGGACCCGCGUCUGAUUAGCUGGUUGGCGGGGUAACGGCCCACCAAGGCGACGAUCAGUAGCCGACCUGAGAGGGUGACCGGCCACAUUGGGACUGAGACACGGCCCAA
rnacentral:rRNA from 1 species